UUAAAUUGAAGAGUUUGAUCAUGGCUCAGAUUGAACGCUGGCGGCAGGCCUAACACAUGCAAGUCGAACGGUAACAGGAAACAGCUUGCUGUUUCGCUGACGAGUGGCGGACGGGUGAGUAAUGUCUGGGAAACUGCCUGAUGGAGGGGGAUAACUACUGGAAACGGUAGCUAAUACCGCAUAAUGUCGCAAGACCAAAGAGGGGGACCUUCGGGCCUCUUGCCAUCGGAUGUGCCCAGAUGGGAUUAGCUAGUAGGUGGGGUAACGGCUCACCUAGGCGACGA
rnacentral:rRNA from 1 species